CUCGCGGCCGCAGGCGCUGGCCUCCCCAGCUGAACCCGCUUGAGGAUCCCCGGACCCUGCGGCGUUUGAGUCCGCGGACCCGGGUAGACGCAGCCGGCCCCGGUCCUUUCGCUCUGCCGCCAGCGCCGGCGGGGCCGAGCGUGCGGCAGCGUGGACCGGGGGCCAAGACCCUGCGGCAGACUGGCGGCCGCCGCGUCCGGAGGUGUUCCUAACACAACAGAGCUGGCUGAGCUUGCCACUGGUGCAGAACUGAGGACAUCAUCCCGAGGAGCUGAGGCUCCAGGUGCUCUCCUGAGGGUGGCUGCCAUGCCACUGCCUCAAACUCUGGGCCUCCUUAGGCUCUAAAGAAGAGAAUGAGGAGGAAGCCAAGGCCCAUCCCUGACCCUGCAGCAAGGCUGGCAUGUGCACAUACAUGAAGCGCUGUGCCCACUGGUGGUAGUGAGCACUGAGUGUCUGCUUGGGGCACGGUACCUGCCAUAUGAUCCGCAGAGCUGAGCAGUCGCACCCUGGAGAGAGUGACACAAAUCUGAGUCCAUGAUAUCUGUCCACAGUGACCUGUCUCUGUAAGCAUCCUGGGCUUCCAGUGGGGCUAGCCUGUACAGUGCUCAGAGUUGGUGCAAUGACCACUCUCUAGGCUGGCACAGGUGCAGGUGUGAGGGAGGGUGGUUCCAACCAGGCACUAAGAGGGGCAGCUAGCCACAGGCCACAUCCAGCAUUCUAAGACCAGCUCCUCCUCAUCUGGGGUCAGUGGUAAGGAUAUGCCAAAAUGACCCCCUGUGGCCCUAUCACAUUCCCUAGGAUCAAGCCCUGGAGUGGGGGUGCCCAUCAGGCAGUCUGUUGCUGAUCAGUAUCCCUGAUGUGCCCACCCAGUUGUACUAGCACAUCUACCCCCAGGGACCUCCUGUUCCAAUGGGUUGAGCCGGUACCCCCACAUCUCCCUGAGUAGCAGCCCUGAAGGCUGGCCCCUAGGCAUGAUGAGGCUGUUUUGGGGGAGUAGAGGGCACAUAGUUAUUCUCAGGGCAGAACACAGGGGGCCUCUGAAAACCAGACAGGUCUGUAGCCAGCAGCCCAGGCCUGGGUGGUAUCUCCUGGGAACGGUCCCAGACUGGGGCAAGGAGUCUCAGGGAUUAUGGGUCCAUGGCCCAAUGAUGAGUAGUGUCUGGGGCUGCAUUUGGUAAGUGGCCCCCUCCCCAUCCUGCCCUGCUGAGCCUCCUCCAAAGGCAUUUGCCCAGUGUCAAAUUGGAGGUUUUGAUUGUGAGGCUCACGCACUUACACCCUGGAUGUGGCUUUCUGGGGCAUGGUGCUGCUGCUGUUCAAGGACCUGAUCCACCUAGUGGUGAGUGCCAGGGAGGGGAGGUGAAGGGGGAGUCUGGGCUGGGGACUGGAGUUCUGUCUGCUGGAGGAAGUGGCAGUGCCCUCAAGGCUGGGGCUUUGCCUGUGUCCGAGACCCCAGGCCACAGGAACGCAGGGAACUGUGGGUACACCAUACACCAAGGAAGAGGCUUUGAAGAGGAUCAUUGUUCCUUUGCUGUCUCUAGAACUGGUUCCUGCUCGGAUCCAAGGAUAGGGCCAGGGCCUUUCCAGGAACACUCUGCCUUGCAGGACUUUCCAUGCUGCACGAUGUCCUGGGUGACUUCACUCUGGCACUACCAGCCCUGUCUGCCCAGUGCUUUGUUUUUUGUUUUGGGUUUUUUUUUUUUUUGUCUGUCUGUCUGUUUUUUUCCUCCUUCAGUGCUGGGAGCGGAACUCAGGGCCUUGUGCGUGCUAUGCAAGUAUAUAUUUUCACUUUUUUUUUAAGCUCAUUAUUUUAGUUCCAGAGAUUAAACCUAGUGGGACUUAACCACUGAGCCACAUCCCCAGCCCAUUUUUUUCUUACUUUGAGACAGGGUCUCACUUAGUUGCUGAGUCUGGCUUUGAACUUAAGAUCCUCCUGCCUCAGCCUCUUGAUUCUCUGGGAUUAGAGGCUUAUGCCACCAUGCCUGGCUCCUUUUUAUUUUUAAUUUUGAGACAGGGUCUCUCUGAGUUGACCAAGUUUGCUUCAAACUUGUGAUUCUCCUACCUCAGCCUUCUAAGUGGAUGGGAUUACAGGCCUGCGCUACAGUCCUGAGAAAAUCCCCACACACAGUGGUGCCCCCAAUUCCUCCUCUUUUUUUUUUUAAAGAUUUAUUUUUUAAUCGUAGUUGGACACGAUACCUUUAUUUUAUUUAUUUUUAUGGGGUGCUGAGGAUUGAACCCAGGGCUUUGCACAAGCUAGGCAAGUGCUCUACCGCUGAGCCACAACCCCAGCCCCCCAAUUCCCCUCUUUAAUGACCAGGUGACAACCAGGUAGAUUGUCUGGGAAGAGGUCUGCCUCGAGGCCAGAGGAAGCCCUUGGGGUGGCCCAGUGCCCACACAGCUCUUUUCCCUUGAGGGAUCAGGCUUAGGCUGUGGUGCGGCUGGGCUGGGCUGGGCUGGGCUGGGCUGGAGUGUGAAGAUGUAAACACCAGCACCUGUGAGUGGAUCAGACCAAGCAGUGAGUGACAGCCCCCAGCACAGGUUAUGGUACAAGCUGCCAGCACCUGCAGUGGUACCCACAGUACCACACAGGAUAGCUGAUUGUACUGUUUGCCCUGCUGGCAGGCCUGGCCAGAAGAUGAACAACAUGUGGGUGGUAGUGUUUGUGGCCCUUGAUGGGGUGAUAGACCAGGAGGCAGGCCCCAGUGCUCAGGACAUCAGGACAGGGAACAUGCCUCAUGCUUCAGGGUGCCAUGAGGCUGCAGGGUGGUGGAACUUACCUCCUGCCCCUGACCCACGCACCUAGGAUGGGGUCCAGGAAGAUUGGGGAAGCAAUGCCUGCAUCGCUGCAAGGUGUGCUCCUAUCAAGGAGCCUCAGAUAGAUCCUUGAUCCGGAAGGCACGGCCCUGCUCAGCUCAGCAGCCCUCCCUGCGUGGGCCAAGACACCAGGCAGGACAUGUCCAGGCAUUCAGAGACAGGUCACUGAGAUGCUAGAGAGGAAAAUAGUGGGCCCACAUACCUGUUAUGGACUCAUCACACAAGGUGGUGGGGCUCAGAUCACAUAGAACCUGGUAGGGUGUAGCUUGGGGCCUCUCUGACUGCGCCCAGCCAAUGGACACCUCUGUCCCUGAAGUUAAUGCUCCCCACCUUGGUUUUCUUGUUUCCUGGGUUUCUUUCUGUGAUUGACCAUACGUGUGUAUGCUUAUACACUCAGUGUUUUUCCACACCUGGUAUUUGUUUAGACCUUAAGUCAUUCUGUAAUAAAACUAAUUUAAAACCA